GCGGCCUUGGUGGAACGGUAGACACCCUGGCUUUAGGUGCCAGUGAGGGAAACCUCGUGAGGGUUCGAAUCCCUCAGGCCGCA
rnacentral:tRNA from 1 species